rnacentral:rRNA from 1 species
GUAGGUGGCAAGCGUUGUCCGGGAAUUAUUGGGGCGUAAAGCGCGCGCAGGCGGUUCUUUAAGUCUGAUGUGAAAGCCCACGGGCUCAACCGUGGAGGGUCAUUGGAAACUGGAGAACUUGAGUACAGAAGAGGAAAGCGGAAUUCCACGUGUAGCGGUGAAAUGCGUAGAGAUGUGGAGGAACACCAGUGGCGAAGGCGGCUUUCUGGUCUGUAACUGACGCUGAGGCGCGAAGGCGUGGGGAGCAAACAGGAUUAGAUACCCUGGUAGUCCACGCCGUAAACGAUGAGUGCUAAGUGUUAGGGGGUUUCCGCCCCUUAGUGCUGCAGCUAACGCAUUAAGCACUCCGCCUGGGGAGUACGGCCGCAAAGGCUGA